CCUUUCACUUAACCCGAAAGGGGUAGUCACAAUUAUUGUGGACAGAAUUAAAACACUAGAGCUUUCUUGCAAUUAUUGUGUCUCUGAUCAUUUACAAUGGCCGCAAAAGGUAGCAAUUUUGCUUUAAUGUACCUCACAUUAUCAUGGCCACACAGAUCGUGGAUCGAAUCCCCGUAACCACGACACAGGCACCUGCAAGCCACGGCCUCUCUGACGUCUCAGGUUCGAAUCCCCGGACUUACAUGCAAAUUUAUCUGUAAUGUCGUGGCUUUCGGUGAUGGAUGAAAGUUAGAUCUUGCUGGCCUCCAUCGUUCUGCUCAAGUAGAGAUUUUUGACAUUUAGGCACUGCAAUUUCUUCACUAGGCUGUUUUGGACGAGGGUUUGUUCUGCCGUAAAAUUUGACUUGGCCAUUGAGGCUAGAAAAGCUCCUAAGCUGCCAGAAAGUUGUUGGCUUCACAUCCUUAUUGACUGCAUCCAUUAUACCUAAAGAAGAAGAAUAAGAGAUGCAUCAGGUUGUGUUUGAAAAUAUUGAUGACAUGCCUCCUCUAGUGAAGACAUAUGUCAAGACUCCUCCAAAGAUGAAGAGGAAACGUGGAGAUGAGGCUCCUUCAGAGAGGAAAAGUGUGGUGAAGAGGAUCGAUUUUGAUCAUCCAUCAUUAGUUUAGGAUGUUAUAGAUAAUUUUGGGAUACUUGCAUGUCUAGUUGGCAUGUAUAUUUUGUAUAUGGACAUACAUUUACAUAUAUUGACAUAUAUUUUGUUUGAGUUGGCGUUUAUGUCAUUUUUGUAUAUAGACAUACACUUGUAAUUAUUAGACAUUUUGAUAUAUAUAGAAGUUGAGAUUUGACAUAACUUGUUUCUCAUGUGAUGCAGGAACAUCCCCGGUUCAUAGCAAUAUUGCAUCAACCAAAAACAUUUUCCUUUUGUUUGCAGUUUUAGCUUUUCUUUCUGUCUAUCCUGAUUUUGGCUCACCGGAUCCCAUGGAGUUGGAUUCUACUUGAAGACUUGAUCAUCUUUCUUAUUUCCAGACUCCAUCGCAUUUGGAUCAUUUUUCGGCAAUAUAUCGCUAUCAGUUUCCUUGAUAGUUUCUUGUUACCAGGGUGAGAGUUCUUGCUAAUGGUUGCCUAGACCUAUUUUGAUGAUCUAUUGAAACCACUUCCGAAGCUGGCCAAGCCUUGGGCAUUGAUUCCAAUGUUCCUUGGCAUGUGGCCAACCUUUUCCUGCGAUAUACAUUUCAUCCUUUAGAUUUUUCGAAGGAAUCUCUUGGUGGAGGCCGACCUUGUUUAUGUUACACGUUAGGUCUUUUUCUUCGGGUUUUGAUCCCUUUUUGGGCCUAUUGGAUCCUUUGGAUCGAUAUAUAUAAUUGUAAUUGCACAUUAGAAUGUAAUCAAUAGAAAAACCAAGUAGUGAGACUGUGCAUAGAAGAUAGAUCCUAAG